rnacentral:rRNA from 1 species
AUGCUCCUGCUACUGACCUUGCUGCUCAUUUCUGAUGGAGUUGGCACUGCCACCUGCUCGACAGUCCCCGGUAACAGCACGGACAUGCUCUGGUUGCUAGAUUUCAAGCGGGCCAUCACCAACGAUCCAAGGCAAGCCUUGAGCUCUUGGAACGCCAGCACCCCCCAUUGCAAGUGGGAGGGCGUCAACUGCUGCCUCACGCACCCAGGUCGCGUCACUGUGCUAAACCUCACCGAGCAAGGGUUGUCAGGUUCGAUUUCCCCAUCCCUUGGGAACCUGACGUUCCUUGAGACACUGGGCCUGUCCAGAAAUAGCUUCACCGGCAAGAUACCUCCUCUCGGACGUCUCCACAGACUGCAACAACUUUUGCUGAGUAAAAACUCUUUGCAAGGGAUCAUUCCUGCUACACUUACAAAUUGUUCCAACCUAAAUUCCUUAGACCUAUCCGGUAACUCCCUGACAGGUGAAAUUCCACUCAAUAUAGGCUUGCUCUCCAAUUUGUCGUUUCUACAGCUUGCCAGAAAUAAUAUCACCGGGACGAUCCCACCAAGCCUGAAAAACAUCAGUCAGUUAGCACUAAUCAAUCUUGCAGAUAAUCAGCUCAUGGGCAGCAUUCCUGAUGAGAUAGGACAAUUUCCAAGUCUGCUUGGUUUGUUACUUAGUGGUAAUAUGCUAUCAGGUAGAAUCCCAACAACCGUGCUUAACCAGUCUUAUCUACAAAUAUUAGACGUAAGUAUCAAUAUGAUAGGGAACACAUUGCCAUCUAAUUUUGGUGAUACCCUCCCAAGUCUCACAUUGCUC